GGAUCUGUGGCGCAAUGGACAGCGCAUUGGACUUUUAGGACAGAAGAAGGCUUUUAAAGGUUGAAGGUUCGAGUCCCACCAGAGUCA